UGGGGAAUAUUGCACAAUGGGCGCAAGCCUGAUGCAGCCAUGCCGCGUGUGUGAAGAAGGCCUUCGGGUUGUAAAGCACUUUCAGCGGGGAGGAAGGCGUUAAGGUUAAUAACCUUGGCGAUUGACGUUACCCGCAGAAGAAGCACCGGCUAACUCCGUGCCAGCAGCCGCGGUAAUACGGAGGGUGCAAGCGUUAAUCGGAAUUACUGGGCGUAAAGCGCACGCAGGCGGUCUGUCAAGUCGGAUGUGAAAUCCCCGGGCUCAACCUGGAAACUGCAUACGAAACUGGCAAGCUAGAGUCUUGUAGAGGGGGGUAGAAUUCCAGGUGUGGCGGUGAAAUGCGUGGAGAUCUGAAGGAAUACCGGUGGCGAAGGCGGCCCCCUGGACAAAGACUGACGCUCAGGUGCGAAAGCGUGGGGAGCAAACAGG
rnacentral:rRNA from 1 species